UGAGUUUAAAGCACAUUCCAUUGGCAGGUAAAUCUCUUAAAACAAGCUGUUCCAUUCCGGCGGCAACUUUUCAUGGUACUGAAUGACAGAAAUGGGGGUGUGAAUAUUGCACUGGAGUUUAGGAUCAAAGGAAUUGCGAAAGUUGCUUUUGAAAUGCUUUGGACAUGAGACUGAGGGGCUCUUUGCUGCAAAUUGUCCUGAAAAGGAAACAUGGAACCCAGACAAGCAAGGGAGGGAGAAUCAACUGGGGUACGUCAGAGGGAGAGGGGAGAUCGAACAGCUACAUCCCUCCACUAGCUGAGAAGCAGUGGCAGAUAUUGGUUCAAAUAGUGAGGAAAGCAGAGAACUGGAAGAGUCGGGUGCUGGUUCUAGGACUACAAAAACUGAAAGAAGGUGGUUGGCAUAUUCUUAACGUCGAAGCCAAUCAAGUUAAACAGCGCUGUGUUAUGAAUACACACGGGGGAUAGAAUGAAGAUGAACCAUUCUACUCACUGCGACUUGCAAAUUAAACCUGACACAAGUGCUGGAACUCCAUCACCGAUAAACCUGACUGGUAUUUCAGAUUGAGCUAUAUUUAGACUUAUAUAUCCAAGGUGAAAGGCAGAAGAGGCAAUCUGAAGCAUAAACCCUGCAGUACGUUCAUGCCUGAUCCUUGAGCAAACCAGGACUGGUAAGCAUCAAGCCUUUUGUGCAUCCAACAGCACAAUUAGAAACAAAUUGACUGAGAAUAAUUUGUCUAAUGGCAGAGCCAAUAAACAAGUAAACUGAGAAAGUGAUUUAAUGUAUCAGCACUGGCUGUUGCCUUACAAAUGGCCCAAGUGCCUAUUAUGAGUGCUUAGUAGACCCAGGGGGAUGGACAUCUACAACAGAAACAAAAACACGUUUCUUUUGAUUUCCCCAGGUUAUCAACCACACAAUAUACUGUACAGACUAAAAUAUUUUCAGAACCUGGCUCCUGCUCCGCUACAGGUCCUGCCUCUGGAAAUGACCUUUGGAACUGGCCACAAGCACUGCUGAUGAGCACUGAAAGCAAGGAAUGAGCGGAGGCCAUCAGGUCACUCAGUCCGCUGUCAGGGGGCAGAGGGCGAGACAACAGCUGUCUGAGGGCUGCUGGGAUUGUGUGUGGGAUUGCCUGGAAACAUCUCUUUCCUCAGAGCAGCUGCCUGAUUUCCCACAAUUGUUUUCCUGCUGAUCAAUUUAUCAGCUAUUACUUAAUCAUCGGUAUGGAGUGAAAAAGAAGAAACUUUGCCCCGGGACUGGGAGAUGCUGUGUUUGAGAUCAGCAAGAAUACAUUAUGCAUUCAACAAAAAACAUUUAAUGACUGGUUAAUGCUUAAAAAAUUACUACUUGUUAGAACUCAGUAUACGGCAAGAAUUGUGAACUCAAAAGUUGCUCUCAGACAUUACAGUCCAUGUGUAACUUAAUUUGUAACUCAUUUACAGAUAAAUUUGAGUGUCAAAUGAGAGAUGCAAUACAUUUUAACAGUGUCAUAAAAAUAUAGGCAGGAAUUAAAAACAGUGAAGCUGCCAAAGGGAAAUUCAACUAUGGUAUUCCGACCGUCCCUUUCUGCUCACACAGAGCUCAGUCCAUCCACCAGGUGGCAGUGUCCUUUCCUUCCCUACUUGUGGAGCUUUUGUUAGGGUAUCAGCUGAAACAGGGGACCAGAACUGCAGCUGCACACACCCCAUGGUCAGUCUCAGCAGCAGCGAACUGGAAAAACACACAUGAAAUAAACACUGAGCCAAACACAGAAACAGGUCUGAGUACUGGUAGUCACCAGUUAAGAUACCAUUCAUUUAUGCCUCAAUCUUUGUUGAGGCAUAAAUGUAGUUUGUUAAACUGUUUUAUAAGAUCAUUACAAACAAAUGGUAAAAGGGUUUUAUCAUUGUCAGGAGACGUGUUACAGCACUGGCUCUUAAAGGUUAAAAAUGUCAUCAUAAAAUGCGUGGGAAAACAACAAGAAAAGUGGAAUGUACUGUAAUAAAAGUUUUAAUAGAUUCAUAAUGAUGUACAAAUCAAACAUUAUUCAUUCAGAUUUCUGGAGGCAAAGGAAAAGGAAAACAGGUAAGUACAUGU
rnacentral:lncRNA from 1 species